CCUACGGGUGGCUGCAGUGGGGAAUAUUGGACAAUGGGGGGAACCCUGAUCCAGCCAUGCCGCGUGUGUGAAGAAGGCCCUCGGGUUGGAAAGCACUUUCAGUGAGGAAGAACGCCUGGUGGUUAAUACCCAUCAGGAAAGACAUCACUCACAGAAGAAGCACCGGCUAACUCCGUGCCAGCAGCCGCGGUAAUACGGAGGGUGCGAGCGUUAAUCGGAAUUACUGGGCGUAAAGCGCGCGUAGGUGGCUUGAUAAGCCGGUUGUGAAAGCCCCGGGCUCAACCUGGGAACGGCAUCCGGAACUGUCAAGCUAGAGUGCAGGAGAGGAAGGUAGAAUUCCCGGUGUAGCGGUGAAAUGCGUAGAGAUCGGGAGGAAUACCAGUGGCGAAGGCGGCCUUCUGGACUGACACUGACACUGAGGUGCGAAAGCGUGGGUAGCAAACAGGAUUAGAUACCCGAGUAGUC
rnacentral:rRNA from 1 species